CAGAGAUGCUGCCGCUGCUGCUGCCGCUGCCCCUGCUGUGGGCAGGGCCCUCGCUCAGGAUGCAAGAUUCCGGCUGGAGAUGCCAGAGUCCGUGACGGUGCAGGAGGGUCUGUGCAUCUUUGUGCACUGUUCGGUCUUCUACCUCGAGUAUGGCUGGAAAGAUUCUACCCCUGCUUAUGGCCACUGGUUCCGGGAAGGGGUCAGUGUAGACCAGGAGACUCCAGUGGCCACAAACAACUCAACUCAAAAAGUGCAGAAGGAGACCCAGGGCCGAUUCCACCUCCUCGGUGAUCCCUCAAGGAACAACUGCUCCCUGAGCAUCAGAGACGCCAGGAGGAGGGACAACGGUUCAUACUUCUUUUGGGUGGCGAGAGGAAGAACAAAAUUUAGUUACAAAUAUUCCCCGCUCUCUGUGUAUGUGACAGCCCUGACCCACAGGCCCGACAUCCUCAUCCCGGAGUUCCUAAAGUCUGGCCAUCCCAGCAACCUGACCUGCUCUGUGCCCUGGGUCUGUGAGCAGGGAACACCCCCCAUCUUCUCCUGGAUGUCAGCUGCCCCCACCUCCCUGGGCCCCAGGACCCUCCACUCCUCAGUGCUCACGAUCAUCCCACGGCCUCAGGACCACGGCACCAACCUCAUCUGUCAGGUGACGUUCCCCGGAGCUGGUGUGACCACGGAGAGAACCAUCCAGCUCAGUGUCUCCUGGAAAUCAGGAACCGUGGAAGAGGUGGUUGUUUUGGCCGUGGGGGUAGUGGCUGUGAAGAUCCUGCUUCUCUGCCUUUGCCUCAUCAUCCUCAGGUAAGCACUGCCUGAAGACCAAGGACAGGCAUGGGGAGGGCAGAGGACAUGAUGCUGAAUCCCAGAAUCUCAAUCCUGGGGGUAUGCAGACAGUUUACGUGGUCCUGGGGCCAGGCUGGAGGCUGAAUUGGUGGUGAGAAUUACACAUGGGCCAUUUGUGGUCAGUUUGUGUCUGUCCCAACUGAGGGCCAAAUGCCAGGAUGGGGAGCUUCCUGUUGUCAUCAAGGAAGUCUAGACCUGCUCUUCCUCCCUGUGAUCCCUCCAGCCUCUAGCAGGGCACAGGAAGUUGAGUUGGCUGCCCUUUGCUCCCUUCAUGUGGCCACACUUACAGGUCCUUGUCUCUUCACUCAAUGUCAGUUUCCACAAGAAGAAGGCGGUGAGGGCAGUGGAGGUUGAGGAGAAUGUAUAUGCUGUCAUGGGUUAAUCUCUCAGGUGAGUGAUGUGGGCCUCUCACUCUUCAACAUCCUGCUGGAUAACUCCUCCACAAUGGCCUCCAGGAUUGCUCUGCCCAUCAUGGCCAAAGUUAAGCCAACUGUCUUCCUCCUCAAACCUACUUUUCCUGGGAUGUGGGUUCUUCAUCCUGCAGAUGACAAAGAGGCCUCAUCUCUAAAGUCAGAACCUGGGUGUGGGUCUCCAUCUUGACCCCCCUCCCUUCUCUAGAUCCCAUAAAUUACUAGCUCUUGUCCCUCCUUCUCCUAAGCAGGGCUCAUCUUGAUGCCCUUUUCUCCAUCCUGACCCUGGUCAUUCUUGCGGCCUCACCUCUUCCCUGAUCACUGAACCCUUUUCACCUCCUGCCUCCAUCUCUCCCCAACACAGGCCUCCAGACUGUACUUCCAGAUGUCUCCUCAUCCAGUUCCUCCACAGUCUGAAUGGCCAUGUUUCCUCUUCAUUGCUGGAGAAUGAAGUGCAAAUGCCACUGCCUGGACUGAAGGCCUUUCACGAUCUGUCUUCUGCUGGACUCUGCUCCUGAUCCCCCUUCUCCUUGCAUCACCCGAAGUCUCCCUACACCCACCAGGCCAAGCCCUCUGUGAUUCUGAGACUUUGCAUGUGUAGUUACUUCUCCUGAAAUGGC
ensembl:lncRNA SIGLEC17P sialic acid binding Ig like lectin 17, pseudogene